rnacentral:rRNA from 1 species
AUGGAACAAAAAAUAAAUCCACUCAGUUUUAGACUUGGUACAACCCAAAAACACCAUUCCUUUUGGUUCGUGCAACCAAAAAAUUAUUCUGAAGGUCUACAGGAAGAUAAAAAAAUAAGGGAUUGUAUCAAGAACUAUAUACAAAAGAAUAGGAAAAAGGGCUCGAAUGGGAAAAUAGAAUCAGACUCAAGUUCCGAAACACAUAUAGAAAUCCAAAAAGAAAUCGAUAUGAUCCACAUCAUAAUCCAUAUUGGAUUCCCAAAUUUAUUACCAAUAAAAGGAGAAAUCAAAGAAUUAGAUAAAGAUCUACAAAAGGAAAUUAACUAUGCAAACCAGAGAUUUAAUAUUUCUAUCGAAAAAGUUAAAGAACCUUAUAGACAGCCUAACAUUCUUGCAGAAUAUAUAGCUUUCCAGUUAAAAAUAGAGUUUCAUUCCGAAAGGCAAUGA